UCAAACAGCUUCAGCAUAUCUAAGUACACCAGUUACUACUCUCCUUUCUCUUUGUCUUUCAUUGUCUGAUCUCUCUCUUUGUAUUUUUCUCUAUACUACCCUUUCGUUUUCAACUGCUCUCGAGUCUUACCAGUACUAAUAUUACCCCACUACCAGAAACCAUGGAAGACAUCUGGAAUGACAUGAACCUUACCUCUCUCCCUGAGAGUACCAUUACAGUUAAUGCUCAGCCACUCAGAAUCUGCCCCCAACCCACCACUACUGCCGCCAACUACCCAAGCAUGAUGUUCCAAGACUAUCUAGGUACUCCUAAUUUUGGCAGUAGCCACCCUCCUCCUCCUCCUCCUACUCCGAUCACCAUGUUCUCCAAUCAUCAUGCUCCGGUACCUUCGCCGGACAGUACUCUUCUGUUUCUGGUCAACCCUCACCAGUACCACUGCAGCAAGUCCAACAACAACCAAGUCUCGAAUGUGUCAUCUUACACUACUAGCAGGCCUUUUCACUCCUCUUCUUCCUUGUUACCCUCUUAUGGCAAUAAAAGCUUCAUAGCAGCUGAUAAUGGCUGUGCCCCAGAUGACAAACAUUUGAGGCGCAUGAUCAAAAACCGAGAGUCUGCUUGUCGUUCAAGAGCUAGAAAGGAGGAAAGUAUUGUAUAUUUUCGUCUUUUUUUUGUUUUGUUUUUGUUUUCUUAUCAAAGAUAGCAUUAUUAUUAUUAUUAUUAUUGCUUUUUCUAACAAUGUAUGUUAUUAUUCUUUUGUAUUGGUUUGUACAGGCGUAUAGAACUAAUUUGGAGAAUGAAGUCGCUAAGUUGAGUGAAGAGAACAGAAAACUUAGAAAGAAGCAAAUUGAGAUUGACAAAGAGAUUGCUGCCGAACAAGAGCUACUUUCCAAAAAGCGAAUCCUUUACCGAACGUCAACUGCCCCAUUUUGAGAUAUAUCUAUAUCUAUAUAUAUGUAGGUGUAUAAAUAUAUCUCAAUGUCUGUCUGUAUUGAGUUGUUAUGACUUAUUACGUGGGUUUUUAAUGUUUAUAUUAUAUGCUUUUGUUGGGGGAAGGGAACGCAAGCUUUAUGUCGAUCGAAACAUGCAAGUUUGUGUUUUAAGGUUUACAAUAGUGACUGUCUAACUACUAAUGUUUCCCGUUAUGUUAUGUUCUGUGGUAACCAAAAAGAAAACAACAAAGUGUAUCUUUGGUAUUUCCUGA